rnacentral:lncRNA from 1 species
AGAGGAUAGAGAAAAGGGAAAGUAAAUAAAUAAAAGAGGAUGAGAACUACUUUAGCCUAUAGGAAGAAGUAAGAAGCUGACUGAAGUCCAAAGCCACUGAGAAGGGGGAUGAGUUUGAACGAAAAUUAUACAGCGCACCUGAAAAUUAUACAGCGCACCUGGGUGCGCCGCAUACCCGUCCAUCUCCGUCGUCCAUUUUAAAAAAGUCAAAAUCCGCGUCUAAUGGACGAUGGAGAUGGACGGGUGCGCGGCGUACCCGGGUGCGCUGAAUACGCUCUCGAGUUUGAAGGCCAAGAGAGUUUGCUUCAAGGCCAUUGAUGACACUUUUUCUAUAAGUGAUCUUUAGUAGUAUUUUGCUUUCAAAUAAAUGCUGCUAUAUUGCUUGCCCACUUCCUUUUUCAAUUUG